rnacentral:tRNA from 1 species
GCCAGUGUGUUGGAAUGGUAGACAUGGGAGUUUCAAACGCUCCUGCCUCUUAGGCGUGCCGGUUCAAAUCCGGCCACUGGUACCA